rnacentral:antisense_RNA from 1 species
CGGGAUGUGACAGUUUAGGCUGGGAGCAGAAAUAAUCAACAUGCCCAUUAGAUACAGGAUGGAAUAAUGCUUCUACUGGUUGGGUCCCUUCGAGGACAGAAGAGCUCCUUGGCACUGGAUGCCUCCGGGUCUGGUUGAGAGAGGAAUGGUUAGGAGACUGUUCUGAGGAUACGCAGACAUCAUCCAAAGCUUCCUACAUUCAGAUGAGGACAGAGGUUGGGCCAGAGCUUUGUAUGCUUGUUACCUAAGGAUGGUUCUGACCAUGUAAGCAGAUCACAGAAGCUGGAGGCAAAGGAUGCCAAGAUGGGAAAGCCACAUAAUGGAAGGAUCCUGGAUUUCAGAGCUGUCACUUGGAGGAGGGGCACCCAGUGAAGGUGUCUUAUCUAACCCACACCAUAUCUUCAUGAAGUGGCCAUAUGGAUUUGAUCCCUAUCCUUCAGAGGUGCUCAGCCUAAGGGAACACGGAUAGUAGAUUAAGCACUGACCAGAGCCAGCCUUGACAAUGUGCUGUUGGCAACCU